AUUUAUAAUUGUUAAACAUUCAAUCUAACACGUUAACGCACCAUGAUAAAUAUAAAAUGGCGACGCUGCUCAAUGUUCUGUCACCGCGAGACUUCAGCGAGAUCGUGUUCGUAACUUUUAACUCGCUAUAAUUUACAAAAUAUAAUUUUGUCAUAUUGUACCACAAAAAAGGUUUGUUUGUACGCAAUCAGCAUAAACCCUUUUUAAAACUGUGGUGUUGAAUAUGUCCUGAAAUAAAAAUUUAAAUGUGUAAUGCAUUUUCCCUCAGUUACAGCGGGAUCUCGUCUGAAGAAAAUCCAUGGAAAACAUCACAGACAAGGAAAUGUCUGUUGCUAACAUGGGUUUUGAAGACGUACUGGAACAGCUGGAGUCCUUGUCCAACAGCAUGAACCAACUGGCACUGGAGACUCAGCUGAGGCAGUGUGACCUGAUCCUCUGCAUUGGCUCACCUGAAAAUCUGCUGCUUCAGAAAAUGAAGGAAGUGAAGCAUCAACACAGAGCUGGACCACCUUCACAACAAAGGAAGAGGUUGUUGGUUUCCUCCUUCAUGAAUACAAAUCGUCUGCUCCUGGUUCGUCUCGGCGGCGUGAUGUCACUGAUAGCUGCUGGCAGCCCCGUCCUCUCUGCCGCAGCCUGUCGGCCUCCCCGGCAUCUCACACCCAGGUGAGAGAGGAGGGCAGAUGUGGACAAUGGGAUGAUCAAUCACCCUCAGAUCCCUCCAGACCCCCAGGCAAGUCUGAGUGAAUGUAUGAGUCCUCCAGGGGGGGUCCAUGUAGGAGAUCACCCACCCUCCCACAGUUUCCCAGUUCCCUCCUGUUUGGGAAACAUAUGGAAGACACAAGACAACUGCCCCAGAGGAGGAGCAGGGGGCUAGUCAACGUCAUUAAAUUACAAAUGGCAUUUCUGCUAAACAUUGUCGUCGUCUCUCGAAAAAACACAAUGAGAACACGACGUUUAUAUUUUGACCAUUUUUCACCUUCAGUAUUGACGGUCAGACGUGUCUUUAAUUCUCUGUUAACGUGGAGCAGCUCUGGGUUUGAAGACUGAGAGACUUCAUCAGUCAAUGUCCUGUCAUUAACUUCCUGUCAUGGUCUCAUUAUGAACCAUGAACAGGACAACAUCAGACCUGAGACGGUCACAUCACUUCCCUCCUGUGGGGCCAACGUGGGUGAGUGAUGGGGGGGGCACGAGGGGCCCUCAGUGGGGCGAAGCCUUCAUUAAUACACAGCAGGAUGACGUGGGAACCAGACAGAUGGAGAGGAUGAGGAGAAGCAUUGGUGUUGUCUUCUACAGUUUAAGGAGUUUUUCCUCAGUUUGUACCAGUUUACAGACCUGUUGUCUCUGAAACAGAAGUAUUUCCACCUGUUCAGUGGUAAAUACUGUUUACUUGGAUACUGAGAAAAUAAGUGUCUGAAAAAACAGGCACAAAAUUCAAUGUUUUCAAACCUGAAGUCCACACACACUUAGCAUUGUGUAAAAUGUAUCUAUAAACCCUAACCCUGUUAUUCUGAAUUCAAUAAAAAAGCCAUUUAAUAAUAUAUACAUGUAUUUAUUAGUGGUUUUAUUUUACAGAUUCAAAAAUCUAAUAGCACCCCUGCAGUACCUAGCUCAGUCCCUAGGGGGUCGCAGACCCAUCGGUAACGUUACUCUGAGAUGAUUAAAUAACAAUAAAGGAAAGUAUUUCUGUUUCUACGUCAUCACUGGUGUAAACACUUCUCUACCACCUUCCACGUUGACACCCCAUCUCUCUCACCCAUCUCUCU